CCUACGGGCGGCAGCAGUGGGGAAUAUUGGACAAUGGGCGAAAGCCUGAUCCAGCCAUGCCGCGUGUGUGAAGAAGGCCUUCGGGUUGUAAAGCACUUUCAGUGGGGAAGAAAGCCUUGGGGCUAAUACCCUCGAGGAAGGACAUCACCCACAGAAGAAGCACCGGCUAACUCCGUGCCAGCAGCCGCGGUAAUACGGAGGGUGCGAGCAUUAAUCGGAAUUACUGGGCGUAAAGCGCGCGUAGGCGGUCUGAUAAGCCGGUUGUGAAAGCCCCGGGCUCAACCUGGGAACGGCAUCCGGAACUGUCAGGCUAGAGUGCAGGAGAGGAAGGUAGAAUUCCCGGUGUAGCGGUGAAAUGCGUAGAGAUCGGGAGGAAUACCAGUGGCGAAGGCGGCCUUCUGGACUGACACUGACGCUGAGGUGCGAAAGCGUGGGUAGCAAACAGGAUUAGAUACCCCAGUAGUC
rnacentral:rRNA from 1 species